rnacentral:rRNA from 1 species
UACGGGGGGGGCAAGCGUUGUUCGGAAUUACUGGGCGUAAAGGGUUCGUAGGUUGCCAACUAAGUCAGACGUGAAAUCCCUCAGCUUAACUGGGGAACUGCGUCUGAGACUGGAUGGCUUGAGUGCAGGAGAGGAACGCGGAAUUCCAGGUGUAGCGGUGAAAUGCGUAGAUAUCUGGAGGAACACCGGUGGCGAAGGCGGCGUUCUGGACUGCAACUGACACUGAGGAGCGAAAGCCAGGGGAGCAAACGGG